GCCUGGAUGGCUCAGUGGUUGAGCAUCUGCCUUCAGGUCAGAUCAUGAUCUCAGGGUUCUAGGAUCGAAUCCUAUAUUGGGCU
rnacentral:tRNA from 1 species